AAGUCGUAACAAGGUUUCCGUAGGUGAACCUGCGGAAGGAUCAUCAACAAAAGUCCGGGAGGUGCGUGUGCGCGCGCGUGCGCGAGCACACGCCACCCGGCAACCAUCUCAUCAACCGUGUGUUGUCGACCCCAUGCAUGGCGGGGGGAGGGCGAGGUGAGGCGCACGUGCGCGAGCGCGAGCGCAUUCCUCCACCCAAUCUCCGCCAUCCGUUUUCAACCUCAUCUUUAUUUCAUUUCUCAUUCGUGCGCACUCGCGCACUCGCAAUUGUCAUCACAACUGUCAGCAACGGAUCACUCGGUUCUC
rnacentral:misc_RNA from 1 species